UCUCGGCAACGGAUAUCUCGGCUCUCGCAUCGAUGAAGAACGUAGCGAAAUGCGAUACUUGGUGUGAAUUGCAGAAUCCCGUGAACCAUCGAGUCUUUGAACGCAAGUUGCGCCCGAAGCCACCAGGUCGAGGGCACGUCUGCCUGGGCGUCACACGC
rnacentral:rRNA from 1 species